CUGCAGAAUCUAUGCAAAACUGAAAAUACCAGCGAAUCAAUAGAAAUCUGCACAAGGACUCGGCGGCGUUUUGCAGAACAUUCUGCACAUCUGGUAUCACUGCACUCAACGGAAUCCUUCCGUCACGAAGGAAAAUUUAAUAGAGAUUUUUUUCAAUACAACCCAGAGUUUAUAUGUAUGAAAAAUCGAGCAAAGAGAAAAUCUAUCGUUUCGGCAACACAGUUUUUGCGCCGUUUGUUGCCAAGAACUAUACAGUACUGUUUUUCACCAUGCAUAAGCGAAUAUCAUUUUUUGAUAUUCUUCACAAGGUACACAGUUUUGAAAGAUUACACCGGUGAUACUUUGUUAAAUUUUACUGAACCAGUGUACAGGUUGUAGCCGGCCCUGGUCGAUCCCUAAUCAGCGUGCAGCUUAAGCGCCACUCCGUUAGGAGACUGCACGCCACGCUAUGUUUGCCCGGUGAGACUCCCCUAAGGGUCAGUCAAAGUUGCCAUAAAGAAAAGGAAUCAGGAUCGGACCAGAUAGGCUUAUACAUUUAAUGCUCCAAAAGCGGGUAGAAAACCCUUUUAUCAGCCAGCAGAAAUCUUCAACACCUACGUAAACGCGAAGAAAGCUUGCGGUAAGGAAUCACCCAUACCUUGAUGUUAUCAUCACAGGCAAAGUCGCUAUUUGCCGCUAGACGGCGCAAACAUCUCGAACAAUGAGCUUUGCUCGGCAUUCAAAUUCCGCCACGCGGAAGACACAACGAACCGAACUUCACGAAUACGAAUGACGUGAACAUAUUAGAACGUACUAAAUCCUUCCAGUAAACACAUUACAUCAUUUGUUUAACUAAUCAAACCAUUUAUUGGAGACAAAAAGGACAGGCCUAUCUUCUAUUGUUCGUGUGCUUUUUCUCCCUACUGUGCUCGUGGACCCAUGUGCUUUAUAUUUCAAUCAGCUGCUUUAUAAUGAAUCUGCAGUGACGUCACCGGCUUAAGCAAAUGCUUGCACCCGGGUGUUUAAUUCGGUAAGGUGGUGUUCAUAAAAGUGGUUCUAUCAUAUUGCGUGCACGUCAAAUCUGCUCACCUUAUAUUUUGGGACACGGCGGUAGCAUGCUGGUCGCGGCCGACUUAAGUCGGGAAAAUUAAUACAGCAUCUAUAGGGCGUCCUUUACGGAGGCCUCUUUGAUAGAAAGAACGAUACGACUCACCGAGACUGCUGCGACGGUCGCUGUUGUUGCUGCUAUUGGUUGCUUCGCUGGAUACUGCUACGGCUGGCUGCUGAUGAUGAUGUUAGUUGCUUCGCUGGCUACGGCUGGCUGCUGGUGAUGACGAUCACAUGUGGCAACGGGCGUGCGAUCGGUCGGCAAACGCCGACGGGGGAUGAACUGCGGCGGGGAUAAACUCGCUUCCUUAGUGCCGCUUACAGGGAGAUAUCUCGACCUGAAACGGACACUAGCUCACCAGAGGGCUCCGGUCUACAGGAUGUUACACGAUGAUGCGGGUUUUUGGGAACACCGCGUGUCUUCCGACGAUGUAGCGCUGUCGGGAAUUUCGUCCGAUGGGGAAAAAACCAGUGCGCGGUGCGCCUUUCGCUGCCCCUUUCCUCUCGUUCGUCUUGGCUGUCGAAUAAAUUGUGAGUAGCCGGCUGGCUAUUGUACAAAGGGUCAUUAGCACGUGAGCGGGUCAUUGACAUUAUGAAAUGAGCACAUUUACCUAUCUGAAUUUUCUCGCACACUUUAUUGAAUUGGCGAAACUAUUUGCACACGUUAUUCGACUCUAUCUAAUUUUAAAAUAAAGAAAUUUAAUACAACUCUACUAUGUUCACAUUAUAUGACUUACUAUUAGAAACUUAAAGGAAAAACGCGGACAACAGACACACGCGCGACACUUCCGAAAUGCUUGGCGGACUAGGACGAAAUGAACGAGCAAUGUAAGUCCUCAGAUAAGGGAAGGUGAUUCCGUACGACUUACAGGAAAUACGUAAUGUCCCGCCAACUUCUUCGGGUUACUUCGGAAAUCUACGAUGCUUUUGGCUGUUUCAUUUUGGAAUCUUAAUUGGCUCUAUCUGUCCCUUUCCAACCUUUCUUCGAGGUUUCUUUAGAGACUAUCGCGCUAAGUGAGUCUGAACGGGAUUGUGAGCGGCUGACACUUAGAGAGAAAUUAUGCGAUGGGAUUGCGACAAGUGUACCGAAAUAGCUAGCCUACAUCUUGGCGCCAGCAGUUAUGUUGAUUUCGAAGUUACUAAUAAAUGCUACGGCUACAUAACACCACACUUGUUUUACGAAAAUUUGGUUGUUGGAUAACAACCAAAUUUUCGUAAGGGACCUUUUUAUUCCCAUAUGAAAACAAUUUCUUCACAAAAAUAAAACUACAUAGGGUAAACAAUAUACAAUAAUACUAAAGCUAAUCCUUGGUUCACUAACAAAAUCGAAAAUACUGAACAUUUCCAAACAUUUCUGUCGACCAUGUUGGUAUUUAAGUUAUUGCUGUUGAGACUUCAAACUAAAUUAAAAAAAAGUCGAACAUACCGACCAUACAAUUCUCCAUAAUCCCAAUGUGUUUCUUACGACUCACAAAGACAUAAAACACUACAAUAAUCCAUACCUAAAUACGGCUCAUUGGACUUCAGGAUUACUCCAAUCCUAACGUUGGAAAGUAUCCCUACUCCCGAAUUCGCCAACUGGUUUGCCUAUCAUGAGACUCCAAGGCUUUUCCCUGGAAAAUUCUCUUUCUGACAACCCGUACAUACAUCAUGAAACUACAACGAUUCUCACGCCGAUAUUUCGGCUAAAGCGAAUCCUGCAUAAUUUUCCCUCAAACCCUGCAUCGAGUUGAUCUGGUAUAAACAUACAUCAAAUAAUCUUGAUUAACAAAUAUAUCUCCAAAUCCCUCGACGCAAUUAUUUAUUAUAUUUCCACACCGAACCACAUCGGCAACAUGAAAUACAAUUGAAAAUUAAAAUGUGAAAACCCCUAUUAAAGCUCCUCUCGUCUCACGCAUACAACUAACUACCAACACGAAUCAAGAGAAACGUCAAAAUAAUGCUAGAUUGAAUACUGUAAUGUGUGGUGUGCUAACAGGCACUGCAGCGGAUCGGAAUUUAAUGAGACUGAAUUUAUGUCGACUGCAAAACGUAAACAAUGUUUACGUUGCUGAUACGACCGGAUGGAUAAACUGGACGAGCAGUAGCUGCAUCUGCAUUAUCUCACGGCUAGUGGAUGGAUCUGCCAACUAUCCCUCAUUCGUUUGGAAUUUGACGGAGGAAAGUUGACUUCUGGUGAAACAGGUUGGUGUGAACAAUUUCUGAUUGUGUUUUUUUUUCCUUUACUUUCAGGAACAAUCGGAUUGACGGCUAAACCCAAGGAUACAGAUUUUACCCCGACAUCAAAAUUGGCCGCUGGAACGAAAAUUGCCAUAUUUUUAUUUCUAAGUUAAACCCAAAAACCAAACCUCUAAAUAACGAAACUAAAUAAUUUAACAUGAAUAUAAAUAAAUAGCAAAAUAAAUUAAAUAAAUAAAUUUAA